rnacentral:lncRNA from 1 species
UAUCACGGUAAUCGCGACCUCUGUGUUAUGUUAGCAAGCAAAUUUCCAGUUCGAACAAAUAAUCUGGGAAGUCUUGCUAUGGUAGAAAGAUGUUCUUCGAACAAGCAAUCUGGGAAUUUUUUUACACUAUUUUCACCUGCAGCUAAACUGAAGCGGUCAAGAACCUGUAUGUGAUACGAAAAUGCAGGACCCGGCAGAGCUGUAAAAUUAGUAAGUCGGAUCUGCUUCAAAGUAUCCACUGGUUUGUUGAGCUCUCUCAGAACGAACAGGUGUGCAGUGUGCCACUGAUGUAAACAAUGGCUUCUUCUCUUAGGUUUGUGGUUCUCAGAACCACAAUUCUCACUAUGCUUUUCCCGUAAAGCUCGAGUGGCGAUCAGCUGCCAUCUUUCCGCUUUUAUUCGGGAUAUUGGUUGGUGAUCUCUGUCACAAAGGUAAGUCAUUGCUUGGAUGAUAUGCACCUACAAACCACAUCAGGGAACAUGUAGCUAAGCAGUCAUCCUUCAGAAAACGAAUUCCGAUUAUUAACAAGACCAUCAAAUAUACCAGAUCAUACUCUCGAAGUGAAACGACGACGUCGUUUUAAGUGGGAAAAAACAACUCAAUGACAUCUCUUAUAUAAUGGAUGGUGGUGAUAUUCCUGAUAUUGGCGAUACUCCCAAAGUGGAACGACGUCGGUUUAAGUAGAAAAGAACAACAACUCAAUGAUAUCUUUUAUGGUUGAUUACGGUGAUACUUCUGAUGUAGGCGAUACUCUCGAAGUGAAAUGACAUCGUUUUAAGUAGAAAAAACAAUUCAAUGACAUUUUUUUAUAGUGGAUUACGAUUGAUACUCCCAAUGUAGGCGAUACUCUCGAAGUAAAACGACGUCGUUUUCAUUUAAGUGAGAAAAACUAGUGGAUUACAAUGAUAUUGCCAAUGUAGGUAAUACUCUCGAAGUGAAAUUACAUCGUUUUAAGUAGAAAAAACAAUUCAAUGACAUUUUUUUAUAGUGGAGUACGAUUGAUACUCCCAAUGUAGGCGAUACUCUCGAAGUAAAACGACGUCGUUUUCAUUUAAGUGAGAAAAACUAGUGGAUUACAAUGAUAUUGCCAAUGUAGGUAAUACUCUCGAAGUGAAACGACGUCGUUUUAAGUUGGAAAAAAAUAACUCAAUGACAACUUUUAUAAUGGAUUACAGUGAUAGUCCUAAUGUAGGCGAAGUCGUUUUAAGUGGAAAUUAAACAUUUACAUUUUCUAGAGUAUUCUAUAUAAAAAAUGGAAUAAAAAAGGUUAUAAAAUAUAAGAUUGCCCAGAUAAAAAAUGAAUAUCCGGCAAAUGUAAUCGAAUUGGUAAAAAUAAAUAUUCUUAUAUCUCUUAAAUUAAGAAGUUAAGUGUCUUUCACGAUCAUUCACAUCAUUGUAUUAUUCACUUUCACAUUUAUUAUUCACUUGCGUUAAUUAGUUUAACUAAUAAGAAGCCAGAUAGAAGAGGAUGAACACAAUUGGCAUGCAGGCCAUCGUUAUUGACUACAAACAGAAGAUUCUGCCACCGCUGCAAAAUUAUAGUAUUAUUUUUGCUCGUUUUGUUUUUGUUUUCUUUAGCUGAUGAUCAAAUUUAAUUCAUACUUGCUAUCUACUAAUUACACUUGGAAUGUGGAACAAUUAUGGAAGUUGCUAUUCGCUAUCUACUAAUUACACUUGGAAUGUGGAACGAUUAUGGAAGUUGCUAUUCAGUAUCAACAUCUACUUUGCUUUCUGGACCCUGUAUCGAAACUCUAGUACAGCUCGUAGAAUGUCAGGAUAAUCGCCGCCUCUGUGUUCCGUUGGCAGGAAAUUUUCAGUUCAAACAAGCAAUCUGGGAAGUUUUACAUUGGCAGAAAGAUGUUCUUCGAACAAGCAAUCUGGAAAAAAAAUUUACGCCAUUUUUACCUGCAGCCAGGGGCGGAUCUAGGAUUCAAACUGUAGGCGGGCACCAAGCAAAUAUUCGGAAAACACCUAUAUAUAUUUCAAAUUUUAUGGGGGCACUUCUAUAAUUAUGGAAAAUUUAGAAUGGUGAAAAAAUGUAACAAAAGAAAUUAGGGGGGCACGUGUCCCCCAUGCCUCUUCCUAGAUCCGCCCCUGCCUGCAGCCACAGUCAAGCCGUCAAAAACCUGUAUGUGAUACGAAAAGGCAGGAACCUCAGAGCUGCAAAAUAUGAGAUAUGGAUCUGCUACAGAGUAUCAACUGAUUUAUUGACUUCUCUUAGUACUAAAAGGUCUGCAGUGUGCCAUUGAUGUAAACAAUGGCUUCUUCUCUUAGGUUUGUGGUUCUCAGAACCACAAUUCUCACUAAGCUUUUCCCGUAAAGCUCGAGUGGCCAUCCGGGCAAUCUUUCCGCUUUUAGUCGAGAUAUUGGUUGGAGAUCUAUGUCACAAAGGUAAGUCAUUGCUUGGAUGAUAUGCACCUAAAAAACACAUCAGUGAAUUCAGAAACGAAAAAAAAGUGCAGAAGACUAAACACACUUCUGAGCAGAAAAGGUCUCAUACUUGUCACAUUUCAACAGUGCACUUGCUCAAGAAAUUGAGCAAGUAUGUACAUUGUGAUUAUUAACAAGAUCAUCAAAUAUAUCAGAUCAUACCUCAGUAUCCUUGCAGCAUUCGUGCUUGGAUUUGAGCUGCAAACAUCAUGGCAAAUUAAAAUUCUCACAAACAUAUCCCAAAAUUGUGCCACCUAGAGACAAUAGAGCAUAUUAGUAGAUAAGAAUGAAAGAAGAUAUGGAGUCUAGACGACUCAAUGACAUC